GGCCCCGCUCUGCUGCUGUCCGCCUCCCGGGCAGACGGCAGCGGUGCGGCGGGGCGCGAUGGCGGCCGGGCUGGGGCCGUGGCUGCUGGCCUUGGCCUUGGGGCCGGCAGGAGUGUGCACUCAGUGGCAACUGGUGGAGUUUGGUGGUGAUGUGCGAGCAUCUGGGGACUCUGUGUCCCUGUUCUGCCGAGCAUCUGGAUUCAGCUUCAGCGUCUAUGACAUACAGUGGUACCGUCAGACCCCCAGAGGCAUACCUGAGUGGGUGUCCUUCAUCGGCAGCCAGGCUGGCACUACAAAGAAAUAUGGGACAGCAGUGGAAGGUCGAGCCACUGUCUUCCGGAACAAUUCCCAAGCCGUGGCACUUCUCUCCCUUCACCACUUGCAUCCAGGGGACUCAGCCCGCUACUUCUGCGGCAUUGCACUGUGACAGGAAAUCCAACUGGUGUUUAACAAAAAACUCUUACCAGGAAUACAUUGACAAUGGUGCGUGAUCUGCAGGGCUACCGAGAGCUGUGGCCGCUUUGGGCUGCUCCCACCAGGUGAGGAGGCGUCACUGCACAGAUCGCCCUGUUCUUUCAGCAAGUGCUGUUUUCUCUUUACCACUCCUUUCAUCCUUCUGACUCUCAGAAGCAGGAUUGUGCGCUGGGAAAGAUGCUCAGUGUAUUUCUUGUCACCAAAUCAGCUUGGCCACUCUCCCUGCCUGCAGAUCCUCUCUGCCUGCCCUUUGUCCCCUUCUGCCCUUUGACACUCCUAUCACUUGGGCUUUAGAAGCAGUAUUGCCUGUUUGCAUUGACUCUCCUAUCACCAAUCCAGCCCUCAGCCAUUUCCAUGAGCACAAAAAAGAACGGCAGUGGGUGAACAGCAUGGCUGUGGCUUGAUGUGCAUUUCAGGGUAAUGGGAUCCAAGCACCAAGGCCUGCAGUGUGAGGGCAAGCAGGACACACAUAGACCCUGUAAUGUCCUUACAGCUCCAAUGCUUCCUAUAUUUAUGUGGCCUGGUACCAGAAGCAUCCCAGCAGGCCUCUCCAAAGCAAGGACUUACUCCACUUACUCCAGAGCAAGGGCUGGGAAGUCUCCCACAGCCCCAGCCCUGUACACUUGCUGGUACCAAAGGGGUUACUGAGGUUCCUGCAAUGUGCCCAAGGUCCUUCCUUAGGAGACAGCCCUAAGCAUAUAGUAAAAGGAAGGUUGAGAGAGUCUCUAGCUGUUCAAAAAACUUCUCUCCUACUCUGCUCCUAGGCUAUAUCUCGCUUGGUCACUUCGUGCUAAUUGCACUACAACUACCCAGGAGGCAGCAAGCAGCUUUCAUGAAUCUGGCCAGAGAAACACACUCAGCUCCCUGCAAAUUACAGCCAAAUUGAAUCUAAUUCAAGCAUGCUUAUUUGAGCUCUAUUCAAUACUAUUCAGCACCCUCAAGGGGAACUGAAGGUCUCUGGGUCUGAAGUUGAAACAAACAAUGUUGUGGAUAAACCAAGGAGCCAACCAUCUAUGGUAUCAGUCACCUUUCUAGUCAAGAAGAAACAAUGGUAUCAGAAGUCACCUCAUUUAGGUAAGGGACAAAUAAGAUUCUCCUAAGAAGGAACAGAAGGAAGAAUGAGAAAAGAUAGGCUGCUCUGCAGCAGAGCAAGAACAGGGUGGGGAAGAGACGGAAUUCAUGAAUGAGUCAGAAAUCCCCCCAGUCUUUAUCCAUUAGUGAGCAGUGAGAUAGGUAAAGUGAUUUCAGCCAUCCUCCAAGAGAAUGUGUUACCACUGGCUUCUCUGAUGCUGCAAAAAGGCCCAGUAUCUGAGAUCUCUUUCUAAGGAAAGAGAUUUGGUUUUGGGCAUGGCUCAGUUCAAUUCAGUCCAGCUCGUGACUUUUGCUCUCUGAGGGAGGAAUGGGAAAAGAGGAAAGUACAAAGGGUCACCUGGGAGCUCAGUGUGAGGAAGGAGAUGUCUGAACACCCCCAUAUAAGACAAAUUAGGAAAGACAAAGACAAAAUCUUUUCUACACCCAAAAUGAGGCAUCUUUCACGUCUGCAUCUUUUUUUACCCCCCCCCCUCCCCCCCCCCCGUGGUGGUGGUGGUGGAUUUAACAAAGCUAUAUUGUAGUAAGGCUGAGUUUAUUGUAUAUCCCCUUUGCUCUUUCCCUGACAACAUGAAUGUCUGUGCCUUUGCCUUAGUGCUUUAUCCUGUGGUCAUUGUUUGGUUGUUUGGUGUUGUUUGUGUGCUUCUCUCACAGAUCUGAGACUAUAAUGGGAGCAAGAACUUCAGAGCAUAUGUGUUUGUAGCACCUGGAUUCCAUCAGUAGAAGUCUGGGAAAGCAGUACAGUAAAUAAAGCGAUUGCUAGAGCUCUCACUGCCUGUUCAUCCUUAACUCCUGAGGCUGCAGAUGGUUGGGAAGGUCACAGAUUCUCUCAUGCUUACCUGCCACAUCUCUGGUAUACCCAUUGCUGACCCAAUCUAUGCUUGGGACUGGAUCAGGCUGACUCCUAUCUGGGACCUGUAGAAUCCAGUGCUACUGUGGCGUUUCAUGUGACUCCAGAACUUUGCAUUGUCCCUCCAGAUCUGUGUCACCAGCUCUGCAAACGCCUCUAGGAACCAACUCUUCCUGGAAGUGCUUUCACACGCAGCUGCAGACACAGCCGCCGAUUUCUGCAGCACCAGAGAGCUGGAAAAGGACACAGGGAUUGAAUCACAGGCAGAACAACAAAGAAAAACAUGGGGAUAAAGUAGCAUGUUUCUUUCUGGCUCAGACUCUGUGACAACACUAUACAGAACUGUAACAUUGUGAAUUCUCUCUCUUUCCAAUUGGUUAAGAUACAAACUUACAGCUACCUGGUGACUAGAGACAACACUGUAACAAUCUUAUGAAGACCUCAGAACCAAAACUGUCCUGUAACAUCCUGGGGAAAGGUGUAAAACAAACACAAGUGCAAUGGAGAAGCCAGGAGUUAGUCGCCUUGCUUAAGGCGGUCUUGGGUCCUCCGUCUACAACCACAGACCUUCAUGAUCACCACGCAAAGUGAGAAGCACGACAGAAUGGCAUGCGAAAUGGUGUGUGACACCACUCUCCAUCUGGCAGCAGCUCCUGGCGCAAUUGAGAGGGACUGUCAUACAACAUCAAAGGCAUUCCCAGUCCCACAGCCAGCAGUGCAUUCCCAGAAAGCGAUCAAGGGGGAAGGACCUUCAGGAUAUUGUGGGAUCUGCAGUGGUGACACUUCUCCCUCUCCCUUUCCUCUCAUUUCCUUCCUUCUUCCCCUUCCCCUUCCUCUCCCCGCCCCCCCCCCCUUCCCUUUGUCUUUCCUUUUCCCCUUUACUCUCCACUUUCCUUUUCCCCUUUCCCCUUUCCCUUUUCCCCUUUCCCCUUUCAACUUUCCCCUUCCUUUUUCCUUUCCCCAUCCCUUUUUUCUUUCACUUCCUUUUCUUUCCCCUCUCCUUUUCUUUCCCUCUCUCGUUUGCUCAUUGGUUAAGAAAUAAAGACAUGCUCUUGCUUGAUCAACA